GUUAUGGUGGCCUAAAUGGUUAGAGAGUCCGCCUUGGAUGCGGAUGGUUGCGGGUUCGAAUCCCGGCCGAGUCACAACA